ACGGGAGGCAGCAGUGGGGAAUAUUGGGCAAUGGGCGCAAGCCUGACCCAGUAACGCCGCGUGAAGGAAGAAGGCUUUCGGGUUGUAAACUUCUUUUACCAGGGACGAAGGACGUGACGGUACCUGGAGAAAAAGCCACGGCUAACUACGUGCCAGCAGCCGCGGUAAUACGUAGGUGGCGAGCGUUGUCCGGAAUUAUUGGGCGUAAAGGGAGCGCAGGUGGGAUUGCAAGUCAGUCUUAAAAGUGCGGGGCUCAACCCCGUGAUGGGAUUGAAACUGCAGUUCUUGAGUGCAGGAGAGGAAAGCGGAAUUCCUAGUGUAGCGGUGAAAUGCGUAGAUAUUAGGAGGAACACCAGUGGCGAAGGCGGCUUUCUGGACUGUAACUGACACUGAGGCUCGAAAGCGUGGGGAGCGAACAGGAUUAGAUACCCUGGUA
rnacentral:rRNA from 1 species